ensembl:lncRNA
AAGAGAGAGAGAGAGAAGAGAGAGAGAAGAGAGAGGGAGUGAAACAGAGAAAGAAGAGAGAGCAGAGAGAGAAGAGAGAGAAGAGAGAGAAGAGAGAGAAGAGAGAGAGAGGGAGAAGAGAGAGAAGAGAGAGGGAGUGAAACAGAGAAAGAGAAGAGAGAGAAGAGAGAGAAGAGAGAGAAGAGGGAGGGAGUGAAACAGAGAAAGAGAAGAGAGAGAGAGGGAGUGAAACAGAGAAAGAGAAGAGAGAGGAGAGGGGUGAAACAGAGAGAGAAGAGAGAGAGAGGGAGGAAA